CAAACACCUAGCCUUGCCACACCCCCACGGGGCUCAGCAGUAAUUAACAUUAAGCAAUAAGCGACCCCAUCAAGCUCGACUUAGUUAUGAUUUCCCAGGUCGGUUAAUUUCGUGCCAGCCACCGCGGUUAUACGAAAGACCUAAAAUAAUAAUGCCCGGCAAAAAACGUGACUAGAGCACACAAUUUUUCACGUGAGACUAAAACCUUUUAGUCAAGUUAUAAAAUACAUCAGACACAUCAAGAAUACCCUUUAAAUCUCAAUGAACAAUUAUCCCUUGACCUCACGAAAACCAAGAAACAAACUGGGAUUAGAUACCCUACUAUGCUUGGUCAUAAACCUUGACAUUCCCACACAAUGUCCGCCAGAGCACUACAAGUGAAAAACUCAAAACUCAAAGGACUUGACGGUGUCCCACAUCAACCUAGAGGAGCCUGUCCUAUAAUCGAUACCCCACGAAACACCUUACCUCCCCUAGCACUUUCAGCCUAUAUACCGCCGUCGUCAGUCUACCUUAUGAAAGCAACUAAGUAGACAAACUAGCCCCCCCCAAAAACGUCAGGUCAAGGUGUAGCAUAUGAAGAGGAAAGAGAUGGGCUACAUUUUCUAAAAAGAACAAACUAUCAUCAUCCUGAAAAAAUGACCUACGGUGGAUUUAGCA
rnacentral:rRNA from 1 species